rnacentral:rRNA from 1 species
UACGGAGGGUGCAAGCGUUAUCCGGAUUCACUGGGUUUAAAGGGUGCGUAGGUGGGUUGGUAAGUCAGUGGUGAAAUCUCCGGGCUUAACCUGGAAACUGCCAUUGAUACUAUCAAUCUUGAAUACCUUGGAGGUGAGCGGAAUAUGUCAUGUAGCGGUGAAAUGCUUAGAUAUGACAUAGAACACCAAUUGCGAAGGCAGCUCACUACACGGUCAUUGACGCUGAGGCACGAAAGCGUGGGGAUCAAACAGG